rnacentral:rRNA from 1 species
GUCUACAGCCAUGCUACCCUGAACAAGCCCGAUCUCGUCUGAUCUCGGAAGCUGAGCAGGGUCGGGCCUGGUUAAUACUUAGAUGGGAGACCACCUAGGAAGACCAGGUGCUGUAGGCA